rfam:Triticum aestivum genome assembly, contig: Triticum_aestivum_CS42_TGACv1_scaffold_375559_5AL
GACUUACUCCCUCCGUUCUAAAUUACUCGUCGCAGAAAUAGAUGUAUCUAGAACUAAAAUACAUCUAGAUACAUCCAUACCUGCGACAAGUAAUUCAGAACGGGAGGGAGUACCUC